ACUCAUGUAUGACCAUUCCUCAU
rnacentral:siRNA from 1 species